rnacentral:rRNA from 1 species
CACGCCGUAAACGAUGGGUGCUAGGUGUCGGGGGCUAUGACCCCCUCGGUGCCGAAGCAAACGCAUUAAGCACCCCGCCUGGGGAGUACGGCCGCAAGGCUAAAACUCAAAGGAAUUGACGGGGGCCCGCACAAGCGGUGGAGCAUGUGGUUUAAUUCGAUGCAACGCGAAGAACCUUACCUGGGCUAGAAAACAUUAGAAGUCUGUGGAAACAUGGAUGUGCUCUUCGGAGAGCUAGUGGUUAGGUGC